AAGGCUAAUUCACUGUUGCUCCUGGCAGCGGAAAGGGGGAAUUGACCUGCCCACUCCGAAUGCAAAUGCCAAGUCCUGCGCAUUGGAUAUUUAUUCAAGCCACAAAUCCACGUUUGGUUACUCUUUAUUCCAGGCGUUUUUUGUAAAGAUGGUACAAUUUUAAAGUAACACACACGCAACCACGCAUGUUGGGGUGCUUCCGUUUACCCUGCCUGUAAAGUCCUCGACCAUUAAACAUCUGGUCAUCGAUUGAGCGACGGUCAGGUCAAUGGCCCCUUUGAGUCACCUUACUGAUCUAACCAGAGACCUGGGGGUCCCAGGAUAAGGCGGUCCCCCUGACCACCAGACCCAGAUCACUGGGGGCCGCAGCCUGACCGGGGGUCGUCUCACAUCAUCUAGAGCAAAGCACCAGCCUGUUGUAGUGCAGGAAGAGCAAAGACAACAAACCAUGGCUUAUUAGAGUAGACUCAAUAGCGCCAUCCACUGGAUAACUCUUCAGUGGUCCCUGGGCAAAGGAACCCGUGCUCUGUGCUCCGGCCUACACCUAGUAGCCACACAGGGUCGGUGAGCAGGACACCCACAGAGCUACGUCACGGCCAUGCUGACAAGACGCAGCCAGACAAGGAGACUAUACCUUCAUUUGGGUUCCUGUCCUCCUACACCUCCUCCUCUCCUUAAACCGGCUCCUGCUGCCUGUCAUUG
ensembl:lncRNA